rfam:Angiostrongylus costaricensis strain Costa Rica genome assembly, scaffold: ACOC_contig0003384
GACGGCUUGGAGCAAUGGUAGCGUAUUCGACUACAGAUCGUAAGGUUGGGCGUUCGAUCCGCUCAGUAGUCA